GUACUGAUGAAUAUUAUCCCAAUCUAACUUUAAAUUCUGGCUAAUUUUUGUAAAUUCCACCAAACCAGCUUCCAUGGGUAGUUGAAGGUUACCUGCAGAAAUCAUCAGUCUGCAGUCUUCGUAAGUGUGGUCUGUCACGGGCACCCCAAGAGCAUUGGCCAUGAUGAUCCUCACUGUAUUGGCAAAAAGGACAGGGUCUUUUUUCUCUUGGACGUUUGGAAUAUGAACAGGCAUAAACUCAACUUCUACCCUGGUGAAUGGUUGACUCAGGGUCAACAUACAGGCCUGGAAACCUGUAAACCCCUGCCAGGUCCAGGUCACCGUGUCCAGGGGGUUUGGGUACCUGAGCAGCACUGGCUGCACAGGCACCCCUGGAGAGAAAGCCCCUAGUUUAAAAGUGACCAGACAGCUGCGGUUGGUACACACUCCUUCCGGGAAAAUCAGGAUCUGUGGCCACUUUCUGUUAGAUGUCACUCGCUUCAGGAUUUCCUCCCGGGUGGUCUUCCUGGAAUUGGGGUCCUCUCGGGUCACAAGCACCGGCUGCGUCGACAAUAAGAAUUUCCCAGCCACCGGGAUAUUCGCGUUCUUACUCGCAGAGACCACCGAGGGUAACCCUGCCACGACACAGGCGAUCACAUCAAAGAAACUGGAGUGCGGGGCUGCCACAAAGAUGCGGGCCUCAUCUCGGGUUGCUUUUUUCCCUUUCACUUUAACCAGGAACCCUGCUAAAAAAAAAGUCACCUGAAAGAAGAACUUCAGAGUUGGUUGCGCCAGUCUUCUCCACUUCUUGGCCGGCUCGGUUGGUUGAGCACGACGGCCUAUGGUGGAAAGCGCAGCCAUGGGCCAGAGGAAGAUGAUGAGGAAAGCAAUGCAAGACACCCGCACGGGCACCAACACGGUCCCCAUGAGGACGAUGUAGGCCCAGCGCCACGCGCUGAAAUGCGUGUGCUGCGUAAAGGGGUUGUCCACUGCCGGCGGGUACAGGGACUUGUUCGUCUCUUGGCUGAAGGCGGAUUCCAACGCAGCCUUGGCGUCCACCACCGCAGCCUCAGAGUCCAACGGCAGAGACGAGGAGCUCAACACCGCAGCCUCGGAGUCCAACGGCAGAGACGAGGAGCUCAACACCGCAGUCUCCGAGUCCAACUUCGCAGGCUUGAAGUCCAAGAUUCCAGGGAGCCGAUGGACUGAGGGGCUGAGGAGAUGUGAGUUUACCCUUUAAAUUUUCCCACAGGUGAACUGCUCUAAAGUCUAGACUGGCAACAGUUAUCAAGACCAUUUCAGCUCUCAUUUAAUAUGAGGGCCACAGUCUUCCAUCUAUCCUUUAUGGGUCAUGAAGUUCAUAUUUUGGUUUUCAUCUGCUAACUCCUAUGUGAUUUCUCAACUGGUUCAGGAACUGGGCAGGAAAAAGGGAUGCUAUUUGUCAGGUCCCCCCAAAUACAGCAUAUGUAUUUCUAUAAACAGUCCAUAGAGGCACCGUGUUUAAA
rnacentral:lncRNA from 1 species